rnacentral:tRNA from 2 species
GGACUCUUAGCUCAGUUGGUUAGAGCGCUUCCUUGACAUGGAAGAGGUCGCUGGUUCGAGUCCAGUAGAGUCCACCA